rnacentral:misc_RNA from 1 species
AACCGAAGUGUGCAUUCUUCUACUAGUUUUUUACCUUUUGAGAUUGCUUAUGGGUUUAAUCCUUUAACUCCUUUAGAUUUGAUUCAUUUGCCUAUGCAUGAGAUUUCAAGUUUAGAUGGAAAGAAGGAGGCUGAGUUGGUUAAAAAGAUCCAUGAAAAAGCUAAAUUGAGAAGAAAAAUAAUAGAUAAGCAGCCCAAGCUAAUAAAGGAACAAAGCAAAUUACAUUCCAACCAGGAGAUUGGGUUUGGAUGCAUAUGAGGAAUGAAAGAUUUCCAAUUCAAAGGAAGCCUAAGCUUCAUUCUAGAGGAGAUUGUCCAUUUCAAGUGGUGGCUAAGAUUAAUGACAAUGCUUAUAAGCUGGAUCUUCCUGGUGAGUACAAUG